rnacentral:rRNA from 1 species
CAGUCGCCGCGGGAACACGUAGGUGGCAAGCGUUGUCCGGAAUUAUUGGGCGUAAAGGGCUCGCAGGCGGUUUCUUAAGUCUGAUGUGAAAGCCCCCGGCUCAACCGGGGAGGGUCAUUGGAAACUGGGAAACUUGAGUGCAGAAGAGGAGAGUGGAAUUCCACGUGUAGCGGUGAAAUGCGUAGAGAUGUGGAGGAACACCAGUGGCGAAGGCGACUCUCUGGUCUGUAACUGACGCUGAGGAGCGAAAGCGUGGGGAGCGAACAGGAUUAGAUACCCCGGUAGUCCCUGUCUCUUAUAC